rnacentral:rRNA from 1 species
GUGAGACAGGUGCUGCAUGGCUGUCGUCAGCUCGUGUUGUGAAAUGUUGGGUUAAGUCCCGCAACGAGCGCAACCCUUAUCCUUUGUUGCCAGCGGUCCGGCCGGGAACUCAAAGGAGACUGCCAGUGAUAAACUGGAGGAAGGUGGGGAUGACGUCAAGUCAUCAUGGCCCUUACGACCAGGGCUACACACGUGCUACAAUGGCGCAUACAAAGAGAAGCGACCUCGCGAGAGCAAGCGGACCUCAUAAAGUGCGUCGUAGUCCGGAUUGGAGUCUGCAACUCGACUCCAUGAAGUCGGAAUCGCUAGUAAUCGUGGAUCAGAAUGCCACGGUGAAUACGUUCCCGGGCCUUGUACACACCGCCCGUCACACCAUGGGAGUGGGUUGCAAAAGAAGUAGGUAGCUUAACCUUCGGGAG